CCCCACCAUCAUCAGGGUGAGAGAUUUCCCCCUCCUCUCUAUUUUUGGGAUUCCAUACAGAAGGAUCACGCCAUCCCUUACCAGGUUCAGGGUGAGAGAUGUCCUCGUCCUCUGUAUUCCCGGGAUUCCACAC